rnacentral:rRNA from 1 species
UACGAAGGGGGCUAGCGUUGCUCGGAAUUACUGGGCGUAAAGCGCACGUAGGCGGCUUUCUAAGUCGGGGGUGAAAUCCUGGAGCUCAACUCCAGAACUGCCUUCGAUACUGGAGAGCUCGAGUCCGGGAGAGGUGAGUGGAACUGCGAGUGUAGAGGUGAAAUUCGUAGAUAUUCGCAAGAACACCAGUGGCGAAGGCGGCUCACUGGCCCGGUACUGACGCCGAGGUGCGAAAGCGUGGGGAGCAAACAGG